GGUGAAUUUUCCGCAAUGGGCGAAAGCCUGACGGAGCAAUACCGCGUGAGGGGGGAAGGCUCUUGGGUCGUAAACCUCUUUUCUCAGGGAAGAACAAAAUGACGGUACCUGAGGAAUAAGCAUCGGCUAACUCUGUGCCAGCAGCCGCGGUAAUACAGAGGAUGCAAGCGUUAUCCGGAAUGAUUGGGCGUAAAGCGUCCGUAGGUGGUUAUGUAAGUCUGUGGUUAAAGCGUGGAGCUCAACUCCAUAAGGGCCAUGGAAACUACAAGACUAGAGUCAAGUAGGGGUAGAGGGAAUUCCCAGUGUAGCGGUGAAAUGCGUAGAGAUUGGGAAGAACACCGGUGGCGAAAGCGCUCUACUGGACUUGUACUGACACUGAGGGACGAAAGCUAGGGGAGCGAAAGGGAUUAGAUACCCCUGUAGUCCUAGCCGUAAACGAUGGAUACUAGGUGUUGCCCGUAUCGACCCGGGCAGUGCCGUAGCUAACGCGUUAAGUAUCC
rnacentral:rRNA from 1 species